UGUUCAGAUUACAGCUGAAUAACAUGUUAUUCGAAGGUGUUACUUCUGAAUAACAAAACCGUUCGCACUAGCAUUUUAGGUAAUACUAUUUGACAGCUGACAGCAUGUGUCAAGCGCCAAAUUUUUUCGAGCAGUUUGUUGUUUGUUUACAAAUAUGUAGCGAGAUUCUUCAAAUUAGAAUUCAAUUAUUAUUAAACAAUUAAUCUGUUUGCGAUUAAAGAACUGUUCAGCGGUAAUGAGAAUUAUUAAUUUGCUAUUUUCUUCGUAAUUGCAAGAAGCGGACCAAACUCCAAAGGCGUGAGUUCAGUAUGGGAUGAAACUGAUAAAGAUUAGUGUGCGCUAAAAAGCCAGAAGUAUUUGUGUGCUUCGUUUAAAUUUUAUUUUGCUCAUUUUUCCUUCGGAAAUCGGCUAGGAACUAUGGUUACAAUGUGUAUUGUUUGUCUUAGGUUUCGUCACCGGUGAACGGGAUGUGAAGUCGAGGAUUCCAUAAAUAUUACACAGGCAGAAAGCAUCAACGGAGCUGGGAAGGUCAAGAUGGAUCAGAAAUAAUCAGGCAUUGCAAUAUCAUCUGAGCACAGGAUAUUAUCUUUGCUUCUGCAAAGAUAUUAUCCCAAAUCAAAGAGCACUCUGAAAAGAUAUUAUCAUUUGAGCGUUUGAUGAUGAUCCGGAUAGCCAGCGCAGUUCGGGGUUUCUUCGCGUUGCGAAGGUGUUGCUACAACAAAAGCUGUGAAAAAAUGUUUCUCCAUGACGAACAUUGCACUUUGUUUACUGAGCGGAUAGAUAACUAAGAUCGAUAUCCCAUCAUUUCAUCAGUAUCUUUGCUCAAAAGAUCGAAUGAUGGGAUGGUUUGCAAUGCCUGGAAAUAAUACAAUGUUUAGCAGCUGCAAGACGAGCCAACGUGAAUUCAAGUUAAACAAAAUUGUAUCGCCAAAACAGUGUGACAAUGGAAUUAUGGAACAACUUCAGCGCGAGAAAACAGGAUUCCUGGAACCCGAACUAACUCGAGAACUACGGUGGAAAUUCCAAAAAUAUUCAGUGCUAUCGUUUGGAGCGACCGACGGCUUUUUACUGGGAUGCGUCUAGUCCUUGGACACAAUGGGAAGUGUCAUCAGUGUUGGUUGUCCUCCCCUAUUUGGUUGUAUCGUUGAUCGGAUUAUUCUGCACCUAUUUUGUAGAUCCAGUUUUGCUCAAAAGGUCACCAAUCGGAAAACCACAAGU